rnacentral:rRNA from 1 species
UACGUAGGAUCCGAGCGUUUGUCCGGAAUUAUUGGGCGUAAAGGGCUCGUAGGCGGUUCGUCACGUCGGGAGUGAAAACUCGGAGCUUAACUCCGAGCCUGCUUCCGAUACGGGCAGACUAGAGGUAGGCAGGGGAGAGUGGAAUUCCCGGUGUAGCGGUGAAAUGCGCAGAUAUCGGGAAGAACACCCGUGGCGAAGGCGGCUCUCUGGGACGGUACUGACGCUGAGACGCGAAAGCGUGGGGAGCGAACAGG